rnacentral:rRNA from 1 species
AUUGAACGCUGGCGGCAGGCUUAACACAUGCAAGUCGAGCGAGCGGCGGACGGGUGCGUAAUGUCUGGGAAACUGCCUGAUGGAGGGGGAUAACUACUGGAAACGGUAGCUAAUACCGCAUACCAUCAGAUGUUCCCAGAUGGGAUUAGAUAGUAGGUGGGGUAAAGGCUCACCUAGGCGACUAUCCCUAGCUGGGUUGUGAGGAUGACCAGCACCACUGGAACUGGGACACGGUCCAGACUCCGACGGUAGGAAGCAGUGGGGAAUAUGGCACAAUGGGCGCAAGCCUGAGGCAGCCAUCCCGCGUGUGUGAAGAAGGCCUGCGGGUUGUAAAGAACUUUCAGCGAGGAGGCGUUACUCGCCGAAGAAGCACCGGCUAACUCCGUGCCAGCAGCCGCGGUAAUAC